UAGAGGUAGAGUGAAGAGGCACAGAAUACAAGUUGCUUGAAGUACAGUGUAAAGUUUCUGCAGUCUGUGAUGAUUUGGGGUGUCAUGUCAUAUGCUGGUGUUGAUCCACUGUGUUUUAAUUCCAAAACCAACGUCACUGCA